CCCUUAGAUGUUCGGGGCCGCACGCGCGCUACACUGAAGGACUCAGCGUGUCUCUCCCCCUAUCCCGAAAGGGAUGGGCAACCCGUUGAACCUCCUUCGUGCUAGGGAUUGGGGUUUGCAAUUAUCCCCCAUGAACGAGGAAUUCCCAGUAAGCGCGAGUCAUCAGCUCGCGUUGAUUACGUCCCUGCCCUUUGUACACACCGCCCGUCGCUACUACCGAUUGGAUGGUUUAGUGAGACCCUCGGAUCGGUCCCGACUCGGGGUGGGCUUCUGCCCCGGUCGUGGUUUCGCCGAGAAGACGGUCAAACUUGAAUAUCUAGAGGAAGUAAAAGUCGUAACA
rnacentral:rRNA from 1 species